rnacentral:lncRNA from 1 species
CACAACUAUAACAUUAUAUCAAAUUUAUUCUAUAAUAUUCAAAAAUAAUAUUUACAGAAAAUUCAUUUUUAUUCAUAAAUGUUGGGGUCUUACAGCUGAACCACGUAAAAAUCUUGAUGUAUGUGGUUUACUAAUUUGUGUGAUUUACUUAAUUCUAUAAUUUAAAUUUUUACUCAACAUUUGAACAAUUCGUAUAUAUAUCUGCAUAAUAUUGUUCUGCUGAUAUCUAAAGUGAACUUACAUAAUCCAGACACCAACACUCACAAGUUUUAUCUAUUUGAAUUAUAAUUAAAAUAGAACUUAAUCUAAAGCAUACA